GUUUCCCUCCCUUAGCUAAAAUUUUAGGUUACUCUCCCUCCCAAAUUGCUCUCGGCCUCCGACUCAAUAAAAUUUUAGGUCACUCUCCCUGCUCCCAAAUUGCUCUCGGCCUCCCUCAAUACCGCUCCGCAGCCACCCCAACCCGAAUCCAAACCACAAGGCUUGGAGCCGCGACGCCCUCACCACGCUCAAGCUCAUCUGCAACCUCGGCAGCGUUAUCCUAAUUAACUCUCUGCUCCGCCGCGUUAUCCUAAUUACCUCUCUGCUCCGCCCUCUUUCGUCUUUCAAUUCUUUGAGCCCAUAACUCCAUCUCGAUCUGAUACCCCGAUGAUUACUCAGAUCUCCUCCUCGUCUCCACUUUCCAUCACCUCCUUGAGCUAUUUUCCUCUCUAGAUAUACCAAAUUCAACAGAAUACAAUGUUAGGAAUUGGAUCUAACUAGUGGAACCCCAACUGGUCCAACCGGCCUCCACACUUUGUUCUUUGUUUCUGGGUUUGCAGAUUCCGGCAUCUGCUUUGAGAGAGAGAAAGAGAAUCAAGAGCCAAUCGAUUCAGAGGAGUAAAGCCCAGGAAGUCGAUUCUCCGCGAUCGCCGGAGCAGAUAAAGAAAACGCAUCAGAUUUACAGGUUUCUGCAGAAAAACUUGGUCAGGGUGGUUCUACAACAGUCGAAGCAAAAAGCUUUAAUCGUAGGAAGCAGUUAUCUCCAGUUGUAUUUUACGGGUCUCCACAUGGUGUACCUCCAAAGCAACCAUCAAGGUUGUUGCUGCGAGUGUUACGUGAGAUACGUGUUGAUCUCACUGCACAGAAACGAUUAAGCUCAAGGAAGGAAGUAUGGGCUACAUUUCCAAGGCAGGAGGAAGCAAUGCAGUUUGCCAAACGGCACGAGAAUGUUCACGUUUUUAGUUAUCAAGAUCACUUUAGUGGACAAAGAAGGUUCCUUGUUUCAAGUUAUGAUGAGUUUUGGAGAAGGUACAAAAUUAUGGAGUCCAAGUUUCGUCACCAUUACGAAGUCAUUCAGGAGGUGACAAUUUUUCUUUCUUUUCAUUGAUAAAAGAAAGUGAUUUACCAUGCCACCUUUAUUUUGACCUGGAGUUCAAUAAGAAAGACAAUGGAAACAGAAAGGUGGAUUCGGCUGUAGUGCUGCCAGUUUUUCUGCCAGCAAGGUGGAUUCGGCUCUUUUUAGGUAGGGGGUUCAUGAUAGGAGUGAACAGUUGCCAUAAAGGCGACAAAGUUGAAGAGAUACUUGGAAAUGAGGCGUGUUGAUGGAGGGCUGACCUUGGACAAGCUUAUAUGCUUUGCUUGCAUUUCCGACAUGUUGGAGGUUUGGAACAAUUCAGCUAAGAGUAAUGGGUGACUUUCUGUAAUUGAGGCUUGCAUGAGCAAAGCUUUCUGCUCUAAAAAAGGACUGCACACAGGACUCCAUCCACUCCAAACAAAAAAGCUUACGUCUCAUAUUUGAUCUUAAUGAAGCUUGGAAAAGGGAUAUAUACGUGGUAUCAAGUGGUCAACAAACCAAGAGAGGCCAACACCUUAUGAAAAGAAUAUCUAAAAGCAUCAAAAGAGCAUUUUACCUACAACCGGUUUUUAUAAAAUUCUUCAAUGUAGACCCUCUUUGAGUCUCUGUAGCUGGAGACCCAAAUGCAAGACACACCUAAAGAAUAGUUUAUUUAUUGCUUGAGUAAAAAAGUGAGAGUGCAUUGGUCUAAGCAGAACAGUUCUGUUGCAAUCAGAAAAACUUUUGGAAAGUUUGAUGAUGUACUUGAAUCUGGUUGUCAUUGUUUGCCUUUGUUGUUGAGGUAGUGCAGUAGCAGCUCAUGUCUUUCUACAACUACAGCAAUUCAAUGUUCAGUGAUACACAGACUUGGAAGCUUAAGAGAUUGUGCUCCAAGGGGCCAAACCAUAAUCUGCAUCAAUGUUCAAUCAGAUUGGUCGAACUUCAGAAUAACAACGGCACAAGACCACUAAUUUUCAAGCAAGCCAACAUCCAUCAAAUAGUUCUCAUUAUUGUCUUUCAUCUAUUGCUUUUAUUAAACAAUACAUACAACUUUUGAUUUGAAGUUAUUGAUUCCGGUCGGAAAUUCGUGUAACAUGUUUUAAUCUGUAAAUUUCAACAAAAAUAUUCUGCUUUGUAAUGUUAUCACAGUAACAUAUAACAGUAUUUCCCGCAGCUAAGCGCGGGCACUCUUCCUAGUGUAUGAAACAGAUGGCAGUAAUCUAUGACAAUGUGGUAUUUUGGA